AAGAAAUCCUCUUAUUAAUAUUGGCCGCUGAGCCAUUUUUUCAGUGUCUGCCUAAAACCUCCUAAACUUUUGACCGUCUUUAGAUUUCCUGGCAACCUGUUCAACAGGCUUGUUGCUACAUACAAAAAGGACUCCUUACCUAAAUUACUCUUAACUCUAGGAGUUACAAAAUCAGUAGUGCUUCCCGUGGUGGAGUGGCUGUGAACAUCU